rnacentral:rRNA from 1 species
UACGUAGGGGGCGAGCGUUAUCCGGAUUUACUGGGUGUAAAGGGAGCGUAGACGGCAGAGCAAGUCCGGAGUGAAAGCCCGGGGCCCAACCCCGGGACUGCUCUGGAAACUGUUAAGCUGGAGUGCGGGAGGGGCAGGCGGAAUUCCUGGUGUAGCGGUGAAAUGCGUAGAUAUCAGGAGGAACACCGGUGGCGAAGGCGGCCUGCUGGACUGCAACUGACGUUGAGGCCCGAAAGCGUGGGGAGCAAACAGG